GUAAAGCCCUGUCGGGAGGGACGAAUUCAUGACGGUACCUCCAAAGAAAGCACCGGCUAACUCCGUGCCAGCAGCCGCGGUAAUACGGAGGGUGCGAGCGUUGCUCGGAAUUACUGGGCGUAAAGCGUACGCAGGCUGCCUUGUAAGUCGGGUGUGAAAGCCCGGGGCUCAACCCCCGGAAAUGCGCCCCGACGACUGCAGGGCUUGAAUGCGGGGAGAGGAUAGCGGAAUUCCUGGUGUAGAGGUGAAAUUCGUAGAUAUCAGGAGGAACACCUGUGGCGAAAGCGGCUAUCUGGCCCGACAUUGACGCUCAUGUACGAAAGCGCGGGGAGCAAACAGGAUUAGAUACCCUGGUAGUCCGCGCCGUAAAACGAUGAGUGCUAGCUGCUGGGAAUGUUUACCGUUUCAGUGGCGAAGCUAACGCAUUAAGCACUCCGCCUGGGAAGUACGGCCGCAAGGCUAAAACUCAAAGGAAUUGACGGGGGG
rnacentral:rRNA from 1 species